rnacentral:rRNA from 1 species
UACGAAGGGGGCUAGCGUUGUUCGGAAUUACUGGGCGUAAAGGGCGCGUAGGCGGCUUCGAUAGUCGGGCGUGAAAUGCCUGGGCUCAACCCAGGAAUUGCACUCGAAACUCCGAGGCUUGAGUGUGGGAGAGGUUGGUGGAAUUCCCAGUGUAGAGGUGAAAUUCGUAGAUAUUGGGAAGAACACCGGUGGCGAAGGCGGCCAACUGGACCACAACUGACGCUGAGGCGCGAAAGCGUGGGGAGCAAACAGG